CGUACACUCCUGCGGGAGGCAGCAGUGGGGAAUCUUGCGCAAUGGGCGAAAGCCUGACGCCGCCAUGCCGCGUGAAUGAUGAAGGUCCUAGGAUUAUAAAAUUCUUUCACCGGGGACGAUAAUGACGGUACCCGGAGAAGAAGCCCCGGCUCACUUCGUGCCCGCAGCCGCCGUAAUACGAAGGGGGCUAGCGUUGCUCGGAAUUACUGGGCGUAAAGGGAGCGUAGGCGGACAUUUAAGUCAGGGGUGUAAUCCCGGGGCUCAACCUCGGAGUUGCCUUUGAUACUGGGUGUCUUGAGUAUGAGAGAGGUGUGUGGAACUCCGAGUGUAGAGGUGAAAUUCGUAGAUAUUCGGAAGAACACCAGUGGCGAAGGCGACACACUGGCUCAUUACUGACGCUUAGGCUCGAAAGCGUGGGGAGCAAACAGGAUUAGAUACCCGGGUAGUCCCAU
rnacentral:rRNA from 1 species